GGGAUAGCUCAGUUGGUAGAGCAUCGGUCUCCAAAACCGAGUGUCGGGAGUUCGAGCCUCUCUUCC
rnacentral:tRNA from 1 species